AGUAACGGCGAGUGAAGCGGCAGCAGCCCAGAUUUAAAAUCUGGCCCUCUUGUGGGGUCCGAGUUGUAAUCUGCAGAGGAAGCGUCUGGCGCGGCGCCGGCCUAGUUCCCUGGAACGGGACGCCGUAGAGGGUGACAGCCCCGUACGGUCGGCCGCCAAGCCUGUGUGUCGCUCCUUCGAAGAGUCGCGUAGUUUGGGAAUGCUGCGCAAAGCGGGAGGUAUGCUCCUCCUAAGGCUAAAUACCGGCCAGAGACCGAUAGCGCACAAGUAGAGUGAUCGAAAGAUGAAAAGCACCUUGAAAAUGGGGUUAAAAAGUACGUGAAAUUGCCAAAGGGGAAGCGCUCGUGGCCAGACUCGUGCCCGGCGGAUCAUCCGGCCUUCUCGCCGGUGCACUCCGCCGGGCUCGGGCCAGCGUCGGUCGGCGCCGGUACUAAAAGGUGGCGCGAACGUGGCUCCCUUCGGGGAAGUGUUAUAGCGCGCCACGUAAUGUG
rnacentral:rRNA from 1 species